rnacentral:rRNA from 1 species
GGUCGCAACAGUCGGUCCGUCCCGCGAGGGAUGCGCACCUGGCUGCGGCAGCCAUCCUCGUGGAGAGCAUGUCUGGCAUUAAGUUGUCGGGCAUGGGAUCCACGUCCUUUACUGUGAGCAAAAUAGAGUGUUCAAAGCAGGCUUAGGCCGUUGAAUACAUUAGCAUGGAAUAAUAAGAUAGGACCUUGGUCUAUUUUGUUGGUUUGUACUCCAAGGUA